GUGGAAGAACAAGCCCAGACACGUUUCUUCACGUAGCCCAAGGAAAACACUUUACCGAACUCAUAUGGGAUGGCCCUGUAAGUUGUGCAGCACUGUUGUACCAACCAAGAGUGACAUUUUAAAGCAUUACAGACUGCACCAUGGGACCUUUGGACACAGCCAUUCCUUGCCUUGCAUUCAUAUUAAUGAAGCGUUCCGAAGGUGCACUGCUGUUCCACUGGAAUCAACAUUUAUGUCCCAACUGGACAGGUACACGCCAAAACUCCUGGAGCUCUUCAGUGCAAAAGGAGGAGUGACUGCAGCGCAUCAAGAACUUGUUGAUGGAACUGAUACAGGUGGGUUAA